rnacentral:rRNA from 1 species
AGCGAACGCUGGCGGCAGGCUUAACACAUGCAAGUCGAGCGGGCAUCCUUGUGGUGUCCGCGGCAGACGGGUGAGUAACGCGUGUGAACGUGCCCUUCGGUUCGGAAUAACUCAGGGAAACUUGAGCUAAUACCGGAUACGUGCGAGAGCAGAAAGGUUUAUCUGCCGAAGGAUCGGCCCGCGUCUGAUUAGCUAGUUGGUGAGGUUAUGGCUCACCAAGGCGACGAUCAGUAGCUGGUCUGAGAGGAUGAUCAGCCACACUGGGACUGAGACACGGCCCAGACUCCUACGGGAGGCAGCAGUGGGGAAUAUUGGACAAUGGGGGCAACCCUGAUCCAGCCAUGCCGCGUGAGUGAUGACGGCCUUAGGGUUGUAAAGCUCUUUUCUCCGGGACGAUAAUGACGGUACCGGAGGAAUAAGCCCCGGCUAACUUCGUG